AAUAGAUACCCGGGUAGUCCACGCCGUAAACGAUGAGUGCUAAGUGUUAGAGGGUUUCCGCCCUUUAGUGCUGCAGCUAACGCAUUAAGCACUCCGCCUGGGGAGUACGGCCGCAAGGCUGAAACUCAAAGGAAUUGACGGGGGCCCGCACAAGCGGUGGAGCAUGUGGUUUAAUUCGAAGCAACGCGAAGAACCUUACCAGGUCUUGACAUCCUCUGCUAACCCUAGAGAUAGGGCGUUCCCCUUCGGGGGACAGAGUGACAGGUGGUGCAUGGUUGUCGUCAGCUCGUGUCGUGAGAUGUUGGGUUAAGUCCCGCAACGAGCGCAACCCUUGAUCUUAGUUGCCAGCAUUUAGUUGGGCACUCUAAGGUGACUGCCGGUGACAAACCGGAGGAAGGUGGGGAUGACGUCAAAUCAUCAUGCCCCUUAUGACCUGGGCUACACACGUGCUACAAUGGAUGGUACAAAGAGCUGCGAACCCGCGAGGGUAAGCCAAUCUCAUAAAGCCCAUUCUCAGUUCGGAUUGUAGG
rnacentral:rRNA from 1 species